rnacentral:rRNA from 1 species
AGUGAACGCUGGCGGUAGGCCUAACACAUGCAAGUCGAACGGCAGCACAGUAAUCGCUUGCUCUUCCGGGUGGCGAGUGGCGGACGGGUGAGGAAUACAUCGGAAUCUCCUUUUUCGUGGGGGAUAACGUAGGGAAACUUACGCUAAUACCGCAUACGACCUACGGGUGAAAGCAGGGGAUCUUCGGACCUUGCGCGAUGAAAUGAGCCGAUGUCGGAUUAGCUAGUUGGCGGGGUAAAGGCCCACCAAGGCGACGAUCCGUAGCUGGUCUGAGAGGAUGAUCAGCCACACUGGAACUGAGACACGGUCCAGACUCCUACGGGAGGCAGCAGUGGGGAAUAUUGGACAAUGGGCGCAAGCCUGAUCCAGCCAUACCGCGUGGGUGAAGAAGGCCUUCGGGUUGUAAAGCCCUUUUGGUGGGAAAGAAAAGCAGCAGGUUAAUACCCCGCUGUUCUGACGGUACCCAAAGAAUAAGCACCGGCUAACUUCGUG